CAGCUGCGUGCGUGUGUGCGUGCGUGCGUGCGCACGCACGCGAGUUCGCUGCGCGUGUGGCUCUGAGGUGACAGUCCCGAGCCUUCACACAAGGAAGUGGAGGAUAUGUCGUAGAACUGAAGCCACAGACGAACAGAAAACCGUCAACUUGAUCGUACAAGACUCCUGACUUUUCUAUCCAGCCACGCUGCUUCGUAUGACAGCUAUCUUCCAUUGAUGCUGAUUUCACAGCAGCUUCCUCAGAGAAGGAGAUGAGCUGAGAGAGCCCCACCAUGUCUGCACGUAUCCCAGCGUCCUCCUCGGCAUGAGGACAUUUGUAAUGCUGCACUCACAUCAGCUGCCUGUUGCUGUGAUAAUCCAUUAUCUGCAUCCAAACAUGGCCUCAGUUCCUCCAGGCGUCCUCCUACUGGUGUCCUUCAACAGGGACCAAUGGUACAAAGCUCUCACCUUCAUCCUCACCUUCCUGCUCUACACCAGUUUCCAUCUCUCCAGGAAACCUAUUAGCAUUGUUAAGAGUGAGCUUCAUAAGAACUGCUCAUCCUUCAGUGAACUAGCCACCAUUGCCUCCAGCAACAGCCGUAACCAGCAGCCCUCCCUGCCAUCUCUCCAUACAGACAUAGACUGCAGCUGGAAGCCUUUUGAUAAAAGCAACUACAAACAGUUGCUGGGAGCUAUGGACUACUCCUUUCUGUGUGCCUAUGCCGUGGGAAUGUACCUCAGUGGCAUCAUUGGGGAGCGCCUGCCCAUUCGGCUGUACCUAACAGUAGGCAUGCUGACCAGUGGACUUUUUACCUGUCUGUUUGGACUGGGUUACUUCUACAACAUCCACAGUUUGGGCUUCUAUAUAUUUGUCCAGGUAGCCAAUGGCUUAGUCCAGACUACUGGCUGGCCCAGUGUAGUGACCUGCAUUGGCAACUGGUUUGGAAAGGGAAGGCGUGGACUCAUCAUGGGGCUUUGGAACUCCCAUACCUCAGUUGGAAACAUCUUGGGCUCUCUGAUCGCAGGCUACUGGGUCUCCUCCAACUGGGGCCUGUCCUUCAUUGUACCGGGGCUCAUUAUUGCAGUCAUGGGUGUCAUCUGCUUUCUCUUCCUCAUUGAGCAUCCUAAUGACCUGAAAAGUAUGUAUGCUCAAAAUUCGUCUCCAGGCAAGAGUGUUUCAACCAAAAGUUGGAAAGGAGUAAAUGGACACACUGAGGUGUAUCUGCAGUACAAGGAAAACAAUAGCCAGGCCAACUACUAUUGCAAGGAUAGUGUACUAAACAGAAAGAGUAACGAUACACAGCUGCUAUUGCCCAGGGACAGUGUGUGUGUCCCUGUGCAGCCUGUUGUUGUGGUGAAGAGUGAAUCAGAACCAUCUGCUAUCAGCUUUAUGGGAGCCCUACGAAUACCAGGAGUGAUUGAGUUCUCUCUGUGCCUGCUGUUUGCUAAGCUGGUCAGUUACACUUUCCUCUUCUGGUUGCCACUCUACAUUACCAAAGCAGCUCACCUGGACGCCAAGAAAGCUGGAGAUCUCUCAACCCUCUUUGAUGUGGGAGGAAUUGUGGGAGGGAUCUUGGCAGGAGUGAUCUCCGAUAAACUGGGAAAGAGAGCCACCACCUGUGCAGUAAUGUUACUGCUGGCUGCUCCUACACUGUACGGCUUUUCCAUGAUCAGUGAGUUCGGUCUAGGGCCAACUAUUGGGAUGCUGUUAGUGUGUGGAGGCCUUGUGAAUGGGCCAUAUGCCCUUAUCACAACUGCAGUGUCUGCUGAUUUGGGGACCCACAAGAGCCUGAAAGGCAAUGCCAGAGCAUUAUCUACUGUCACUGCUAUCAUUGAUGGCACAGGAUCUGUAGAAAAACGUCCCCUUUUACGCGUCAAGGAGGAGCAGACUGACAGAACCACAGAAGAAAAUAAAGUUAUACUUUCCACCACUAUGAUAUAUGAUGAGCAGCACUGGGCCCCCUGCUGGCUGGACUGUUAUCUGCUGGCGGCUGGGAUCAGGUCUUCUACAUGCUGAUGACUGCUGACUUCCUUGCUCUGUUGCUUUUGCUACGGCUCGUGACAAAGGAGGUGUCCUCAUCUAAGUCCCGUCCGAUCUCUGCUGUAGAGUUGAAGGAGCACUGAGCACUUUGACUGCACUGCCUCUGUACUCACGUGCGCACACACACUAAGUGCAUUGAAACCACUUGUCUGCAUCGGAUAUUGACCGUGGCUAUGUCAAGAACUGGACUGGGCAUAUUAAUGCUCACAUAGGUGCAUAAUAAACCAACAUGUGUAUCUAUGAGCAUGUAGACACACUGUUGAGGAGGAACUGGGGUUUAGGCUAGUAGACCAAACAGAACAGCAGCAAAUUUCAGACUGGGUUGUACUCUGAACUUACUGUACUUGUUCUGUGCAAAAGAAUGCAUAUGUUGAUAUGAUAUGAUUAUCUUUUUGUCUCCUUUUCAAUUCUUGAACUCAGUCUGAAUAUGAACCAACUGUCUGUUUAAUCUACAGAUAUAUAAAACUGGCCUUGCUUUUGAUAUUAGUAUUGGGACUGUAUAUACUAGCAGCAAUGUUUAAGUAGCAGUGUUUGAAAUAGCAACUUCCACAAAUGUAUUCUUAUGGAUUGUUCUCUAACUAUGGGUACCUUCUGUUGUUAUCCUUACAAACUCAUCAGACUUUGACGAGACAUCUAUCACUUUACCAGUCAAGUUUACAUCUAAACUUAACCAUCUUAACAGGGACCAUUCAUAAUUUUAUAUGUGGGCCCAGCCUUUCAGUUAGACUAUGGUGGAAUCUACCCUGGAUUCAGACCUGCAAACCACUGUGGUUUUGUGGUCUUUGACACCUUGAAAAACAGCCAACAUCGGCACUCAUGGGACUGAUUAUGAAUAUGGUCUUCAGAAUUGGGGAGCCUUGCCAGAUCCAGUAAAAUUUGCCACAAGCAUGCAGAUUUUUGCAAUUCAAAAAUCUUUAGUUGUACAAAAACAUGAACUUUUUCUGACAACUGCUAUUGAAGCAUGCAUGUAACCAAACAGAGACUUAAGGUGGAUAUAUCUAACAGUCACUAAUGACUUAUUAAAGCAGACAACUAUAUUUGGUUAGAAACAAAUCCAUUUUUGAUGUUCAUGCACUACAUGUUAGCUAGCAUGAGACCCUGCAGUAGCCAAACUAAUAAGGCUACUAUAAUAGUUUUCUCCUCUUUAAUUCAGUGACAAAAAUACAUGACAACAUAUAUACUUUAGUUUUAUUGUACUGCAUAUUCUACUCCAUCCAAAUAUUUGCUUUCCAUUCAAAAGCACUUCUACCAUUGUGGUACUCCAAAGGGCCACCAAAACUGGCAGCUCUGCUGUCAAUGAACAUUGGUAUCAUGUUUGUGCCCUGCACUGCCAUUUGUGUAUGAAUAGUCUGGUGUAUUUUAAAGAUAAUGUAUAUUUGAUUUAUUAUCAUACAGUUAUUUGAUGUCAUGCAAUACCGCCUAUCCAAGCAUGGCAAACCACAUGAAGCUUAUAACCUGAAAGUAGUUCCUAAUGAUAUAGAACCACUAGGACGAUGUUUCUAUUGGUACUUGUUGAAAUUUUGAAAUCCCACCCGGACAAAUAUAAAUAAGUCUAUCUACAUGGAUAAAUUUCAUUAGAGGGAAGAGACAAAACACUGUAAUUAUGUGGACUGACCCUUUAAGCGGUUGGGAAUGUUUAUAUCUUCCCACCUUUAAGCAGGUGCUUUUAAACUUCCAGUACACUGUGUGUUUCCAUAUGACAGUCUCCCCACUGUGUCUCUGUUUUUACUAUUUAAAUUUAUACUGACCACUAUAACUGUCCUAUGUUCUGUGGAAAUUGCUGUUUCAGUGUCACCUUUGCCUUACCAAAGAGACUAUGGGAUUGUAGUGUAAUUUAAAUAACAGAAUACAUAUUUUGCAAGUGAUUUAACUUAUUUCUAUUAGUUCUAUGUUGGUUGAUUAGUUUUUUCCCCUCAAUUUUGUUAUUAAAUAAAGUCACCAAAGCUUUAUUCUUAUAUAAUAUUUCUGGGUAAUAAUGUGUUUACGUGUGUGGGAGUGGGGGGUUGAGAUAUUUUGAAUGUAAAGUUGGCAAACCUUAUGGUUAUAUUUUACAGUGCAAUGUGGACAAAUAAAGUUGUUUAACCCUUUGAUGCGCAGUGUGUGUCAGGAGAUACCCAUUUUCCAUUGGAUUUGGCUUUGACCUAUGUUGCACAUCAAAGGGUUAAAGCAGUUAGAAUAGGAUUAUCACUGCAUUUAACUCUUCUUCCAAUUUCUGAUCUGGUAAACAUAAAAAGUCCCUUCAAUCAAAGUUAUGAAAUGAAGACAACAUGCAACGCUAAUAUUUAGUGAUUUUUUUUUCAGGUUUAAUAUUUAGUAAUGUAUUAUGUAAAUUUUUUGUCUAUCAUCAAAAUACAGAAAUCUGUUAAUGUUACAUGAAUGUAAAUCUUCAGUUCUGGGAUCGUUUCCUUUUAAUGGUAGAAGUAUUGAAACCAUAUCCUACUAUCUUUACAACAGGACCACAUUUUGUGUAUAUUUAUUAUGUGUCAGUGGUAGGCCUAGUACUUGAAACACUGUGUGCCUUGUUUGUUGUUUGUCUUCUUGCUGGGUUAUGGUUUUGUUGUAUUAAAAUAAAUUAUUGCAGAUUUCUAAAAUUUGGGGUUGAUAAACUUCAAAAGCAUUCUCUGGAAAAAAUAAACUAUUUGUUUUCUUCA